rnacentral:rRNA from 1 species
GGCGGCGUGGAUAAGACAUGCAAGUCGAACGGGAUAUUGCUUGUAGCAAUACAAGUGAUGUCCAGUGGCGUAAGGGUGCGUAACACGUGGGCAACCUGCCGAGAAGUGGGGGAUAGCUCGCCGAAAGGCGAAUUAAUACCGCAUGUGGCUAGUGGAGACAUCUUCACAAUGCCAAAGCCGGGGCAACCUGGCGCUUCUUGAUGGGCCCGCGGCCUAUCAGCUAGUUGGUGAGGUAACGGCUCACCAAGGCUAUGACGGGUAGCUGGUCUGAGAGGACGACCAGCCACACUGGAACUGAGACACGGUCCAGACACCUACGGGUGGCAGCAGUCGAGAAUUUUUCUCAAUGGGGGAAACCCUGAAGGAGCGACGCCGCGUGGAGGAUGAAGGUCUUCGGAUUGUAAACUCCUGUCAUUGGGGAACAAGCUGCAACCGUUAACUGCGGUUGCAUUGAUAGUACCUGAAGAGGAAGA